rnacentral:rRNA from 1 species
CUACGGGGUGCAGCAGUAAGGAAUAUUGCGCAAUGGAGGCAACUCUGACGCAGCCAUGCCGCGUGCAGGAAGAAGGCCUUAUGGGUCGUAAACUGCUUUUAUUUAGGAAUAAACCCCCGAACGUGUUCGGGGCUGAAGGUACUAAACGAAUAAGCACCGGCUAACUCCGUGCCAGCGAGCCGCGGUAAUACGGAGGGUGCAAGCGUUAUCCGGAUUUAUUGGGUUUAAAGGGUGCGCAGGCGGGCUAUUAAGUCAGUGGUGAAAUCCCGGGGCUCAACUCCGGAACUGCCAUUGAUACUGAUAGUCUUGAGUUUGGUUGAAGUGGGCGGAAUGUAGCAUGUAGCGGUGAAAUGCAUAGAUAUGCUACAGAACACCAAUCGCGAAGGCAGCUCACUAAGCCAAAACUGACGCUCAUGCACGAAAGCGUGGGGAUCAAACAGGAUUAGAUACCCUUGUAGUC